UGACGCUGGCGGCAUGCUUACACAUGCAAGUCGAACGGCAGCACGGGGGCAACCCUGGUGGCGAGUGGCGAACGGGUGAGUAACAUAUCGGAACGUACCUUAGAGUGGGGGAUAACGUAGCGAAAGUUACGCUAAUACCGCAUACGAUCUGAGGAUGAAAGUGGGGGACCUCGAGAGGGGCCUCACGCUCUGAGAGCGGCCGAUAACUGAUUAGCUAGUUGGUGGGGUAAAGGCCCACCAAGGCGACGAUCAGUAGCUGGUUUGAGAGAACGACCAGCCACACUGGGACUGAGACACGGCCCAGACUCCUACGGGAGGCAGCAGUGGGGAAUUUUGGACAAUGGGGGCAACCCUGAUCCAGCGAUGCCGCG
rnacentral:rRNA from 1 species